AUGGCUGCUCUUCUUACUAGCUGGGGCUCCAAAAGGCACAGCGCCCGUCCCUACUCUAUUUGUUCACUCCUCUCUCUAACACAGUCACUCCUCUCUCUCUCUCUCUCAAAGCGCCAGUCUGGCCUGCCAGCCCUGAGACCAGACAGGCAUUUGCUGUGUUUGAGUUGGACUGAGAACAUCCUCCCAGUUUUGAUAGAUAGAGGCCAGUUCUGCAGCAGUGAGCAAAACCAGGCCAGCGCCGACCCGGCUAUAAACCGGUGGAUGCACGUCGCUGCCCUCAGAUUGGUGGUGGAAGACGGUUACCGUGGGGACGGCCUGUGUGCAGAGGGCUGAUAAGAGGUAGCCGUUUAAAUCCAGCGGGAUGGAACGAGGCCGCAGGACAGGACUGCGUUCGCCAGGGCUCUGACGGUGCGUCACCGAUGUAUCUGAUUAUUUACGUGUCUGUCUGUCUGACUGUCUGACGUGGCACUGGAUCUGAACCGUAGAUGAAUCAAUCACUAGCAUCUCGUUUGCAGCUCAGUGGAGCUCAGCUGGAGCCAAGAGCAUGAGAGAUGGAACAGAAGGGGAAAGAUUGUGCUCUGACGUCAUUGGAAAACAGGGCACACUUUCAGCCUUUGGAUGACUGGUUUGUUUUCAACCCUUUUGAGCAGAGAAAACAUCAAAUAUUGGCCUUAGUGGACAAAUGAGUCUGUGUUUUUUCCCUGACUUGAUGGCUGUUCUGAGCUGGGACCAGGAGACCAGUUGAUUAGCUUUGAUAGGGAAAGUGAUUGAUAUAAAGCCGCUUUGAUAAGGCUGAUGACAGUGGUGAUGUUUACCAGCUUACAUCUCCUUUCAGUUUCAGUCUUCAGACAGCUGGCUAGGUGUCAAGCUUUGACAGCAUCUAGGAAAUGCUUUUCAGCUGAGCCACAGAGUGACAGAAGCUAUUGUCUAUAUUAUUGUUCUGUAGAUACUCAAUGAAUCACCGUGAAUGAAUACACAGUUUCAUUCCAAAAGUUGUUUUGAUUGUCUCAAUCGUGUCGUCAAUCAAAUAGAUGCCAAAUAUAUAUUUUGGGAGUUGCGACUCUAACUUUUGUAUAUGUGUAGGAGAAGAUGAUUGCGCUCCGUCAUGUUGUGUCUUAGUCAGUAGGUCCAGACUUGCAACUUUUUGCC
rnacentral:lncRNA from 8 species